CCUGACGCCGUGCGAAUCGAGCGCGCUCCGCCAGAAAUGUGAAAUCGAUCACAGCCGAUUAUAACAAUCUGGUGCGGAGCGUGCGACCUUCAAUAGAGUGGUUGCAGAUGCAGCACCGGAGGUGCCGGUUCAGGCUGUUCAAAGUCGGCUCGAAGAAUUUGCAGCAUAUGGUCGACUUUGGUUUGAUAUUUCGUACCCGUUGCAUCCCUUCGGAAACUCCACAUCAAAAACCUCCGACGACAUCAGGCUCAAGAGAGACUU